rnacentral:misc_RNA from 1 species
UAUGGAGGGUCUAAGCGUUUAUCGGACUUACUGGGCGUAAAGCGCGCGUAGGUGGCUUGAUAAGCCGGUUGUGAAAGCACCGGGCUCAACCUGGGAACGGCAUCCGGAACUGUCAAGCUAGAGUGCAGGAGAGGAAGGUAGAAUUCCCGGUGUAGCGGUGAAAUGCGUAGAGAUCGGGAGGAAUACCAGUGGCGAAGGCGGCCUUCUGGACUGACACUGACACUGAGGUGCGAAAGCGUGGGUAGCAAACAGG